rnacentral:rRNA from 1 species
GACGAACGCUGGCGGCGUGCUUAACACAUGCAAGUCGAACGGAAAGGCCCUGCUUUUGUUGGGUGCUCGAGUGGCGAACGGGUGAGUAACACGUGAGUAACCUGCCCUUGACUUUGGGAUAACUUCAGGAAACUGGGGCUAAUACCGGAUAGGAUCUCCUGCUGCAUGGUGGGGGUUGGAAAGUUUCGGCGGUUGGGGAUGGACUCGCGGCUUAUCAGCUUGUUGGUGGGGUAGUGGCUUACCAAGGCUUUGACGGGUAGCCGGCCUGAGAGGGUGACCGGCCACAUUGGGACUGAGAGACGGCCCAGACUCCUACGGGAGGCAGCAGUGGGGAAUAUUGCGCAAUGGGCGGAAGCCUGAUGCAGCAGCGCCGCGUGCGGGAUGACGGCCUUCGGGUUGUAAACCGCUUUCGCCUGUGACGAAGCGUGAGUGACGGUAAUGGGUAAAGAAGCACCGGCUAACUACGUG